AACCAUAGAAACCUGCGGAGUACCUGCGGAGGGAUCAUUAUUGAUUUUUUAAAGGAUGUGCUGGCCCCCGGGGCAUAUAUGGUGCACUCCCAAAAAAAACCAAACAUCCACCUGUGCACUUUUCAGUAGGCAAAAAAGAAGACUUUUGCGAGUCUUUUCUUGUCUAUGUUUCAUUACAAACACUUGAGCUCAUUUGAAUGCUUUAUACAAUGACAUAAUUUGUAAUACAACUUUCAACAA
rnacentral:misc_RNA from 1 species